UACGUGGGGGGCAAGCGUUGUUCGGAAUUACUGGGCGUAAAGGGCUCGUAGGCGGCCAAUUAAGUCAGACGUGAAAUCCCUCGGCUUAACCGGGGAACUGCGUCUGAUACUGGAUGGCUUGAGUUUGGGAGAGGGAUGCGGAAUUCCAGGUGUAGCGGUGAAAUGCGUAGAUAUCUGGAGGAACACCGAUUGCGAAGGCAGCUCACUAGGCUUUAACUGACGCUGAGGCACGAAAGCGUGGGGAGCAAACAGG
rnacentral:rRNA from 1 species